ensembl:misc_RNA Metazoa_SRP Metazoan signal recognition particle RNA
GCCGGGCAUGGUGACUCAUGCCUGUAAUCCCAUCACUUUGGGAGGCCGAGGCAGGUGAAUUGCUUGAGUCCAGGAGUUCCAGACCAGCCUGGGCAACAUGGCAAAACCCUGUCUCUA